AGAGUUUGAUCCUGGCUCAGGAUGAACGCUAGCGACAGGCUUAACACAUGCAAGUCGAGGGGCAGCACAGGGUAGCAAUACUUGGGUGGCGACCGGCGCACGGGUGAGUAACGCGUAUGCAACUUACCUAUCAGAGGGGGAUAGCCCGGCGAAAGUCGGAUUAAUACCCCAUAAAACAGGGGUCCCGCAUGGGAAUAUUUGUUAAAGAUUCAUCGCUGAUAGAUAGGCAUGCGUUCCAUUAGGCAGUUGGCGGGGUAACGGCCCACCAAACCGACGAUGGAUAGGGGUUCUGAGAGGAAGGUCCCCCACAUUGGUACUGAGACACGGACCAAACUCCUACGGGAGGCAGCAGUGAGGAAUAUUGGUCAAUGGCCGAGAGGCUGAACCAGCCAAGUCGCGUGAAGGAAGAAGGAUCUAUGGUUUGUAAACUUCUUUUAUAGGGGAAUAAAGUGGAGGACGUGUCCUUUUUUGUAUGUACCCUAUGAAUAAGCAUCGGCUAACUCCGUGCCAGCAGCCGCGGUAAUACGGAGGAUGCGAGCGUUAUCCGGAUUUAUUGGGUUUAAAGGGUGCGUAGGUGGUGAUUUAAGUCAGCGGUGAAAGUUUGUGGCUCAACCAUAAAAUUGCCGUUGAAACUGGGUUACUUGAGUGUGUUUGAGGUAGGCGGAAUGCGUGGUGUAGCGGUGAAAUGCAUAGAUAUCACGCAGAACUCCGAUUGCGAAGGCAGCUUACUAAACCAUAACUGACACUGAAGCACGAAAGCGUGGGGAUCAAACAGGAUUAGAUACCCUGGUAGUCCACGCAGUAAACGAUGAUUACUAGGAGUUUGCGAUACAAUGUAAGCUCUACAGCGAAAGCGUUAAGUAAUCCACCUGGGGAGUACGCCGGCAACGGUGAAACUCAAAGGAAUUGACGGGGGCCCGCACAAGCGGAGGAACAUGUGGUUUAAUUCGAUAAUACGCGAGGAACCUUACCCGGGCUUAAAUUGCAGAUGAAUUACGGUGAAAGCCGUAAGCCGCAAGGCAUCUGUGAAGGUGCUGCAUGGUUGUCGUCAGCUCGUGCCGUGAGGUGUCGGCUUAAGUGCCAUAACGAGCGCAACCCUUAUCACUAGUUACUAACAGGUGAAGCUGAGGACUCUGGUGAGACUGCCAGCGUAAGCUGUGAGGAAGGUGGGGAUGACGUCAAAUCAGCACGGCCCUUACAUCCGGGGCGACACACGUGUUACAAUGGCAUGGACAAAGGGCAGCUACCUGGCGACAGGAUGCUAAUCUCCAAACCAUGUCUCAGUUCGGAUCGGAGUCUGCAACUCGACUCCGUGAAGCUGGAUUCGCUAGUAAUCGCGCAUCAGCCAUGGCGCGGUGAAUACGUUCCCGGGCCUUGUACACACCGCCCGUCAAGCCAUGGGAGCCGGGGGUACCUGAAGUGCGUAACCGCGAGGAGCGCCCUAGGGUAAAACUGGUGACUGGGGCUAAGUCGUAACAAGGUAGCCGUACCGGAAGGUGCGGCUG
rnacentral:rRNA from 1 species